GCAAGUCGAACGGCAGCACGGGUGCUUGCACCUGGUGGCGAGUGGCGAACGGGUGAGUAAUAUAUCGGAACGUGCCCUAGAGUGGGGGAUAACGUAGCGAAAGUUACGCUAAUACCGCAUACGAUCUACGGAUGAAAGUGGGGGAUCGCAAGACCUCAUGCUCGUGGAGCGGCCGAUAUCUGAUUAGCUAGUUGGUAGGGUAAAAGCCUACCAAGGCGACGAUCAGUAGCUGGUCUGAGAGGACGACCAGCCACACUGGGACUGAGACACGGCCCAGACUCCUACGGGAGGCAGCAGUGGGGAAUUUUGGACAAUGGGGGAAACCCUGAUCCAGCAAUGCCGCGUGUGUGAAGAAGGCCUUCGGGUUGUAAAGCACUUUUGUCAGGAACGAAACGGUGGGGGCUAAUACCCCCUGCUAAUGACGGUACCUGAAGAAUAAGCACCGGCUAACUACGUGCCAGCAGCCGCGGUAAUACGUAGGGUGCAAGCGUUAAUCGGAAUUACUGGGCGUAAAGCGUGCGCAGGCGGUUGUGCAAGACAGAUGUGAAAUCCCCGGGCUUAACCUGGGAAUUGCAUUUGUGACUGCACGGCUAGAGUGUGUCAGAGGGGGGUAGAAUUCCACGUGUAGCAGUGAAAUGCGUAGAUAUGUGGAGGAAUACCGAUGGCGAAGGCAGCCCCCUGGGAUAACACUGACGCUCAUGCACGAAAGCGUGGGGAGCAAACAGGAUUAGAUACCCUGGUAGUCCACGCCCUAAACGAUGUCUACUAGUUGUCGGGUCUUAAUUGACUUGGUAACGCAGCUAACGCGUGAAGUAGACCGCCUGGGGAGUACGGUCGCAAGAUUAAAACUCAAAGGAAUUGACGGGGACCCGCACAAGCGGUGGAUGAUGUGGAUUAAUUCGAUGCAACGCGAAAAACCUUACCUACCCUUGACAUGUACG
rnacentral:rRNA from 1 species